GACGAACGCUGGCGGCGUGCUUAACACAUGCAAGUCGAACGGAAAGGCCCUGCUUUUGUGGGGUGCUCGAGUGGCGAACGGGUGAGUAACACGUGAGUAACCUGCCCUUGACUUUGGGAUAACUUCAGGAAACUGGGGCUAAUACCGGAUAGGAGCUCCUGCUGCAUGGUGGGGGUUGGAAAGUUUCGGCGGUUGGGGAUGGACUCGCGGCUUAUCAGCUUGUUGGUGGGGUAGUGGCUUACCAAGGCUUUGACGGGUAGCCGGCCUGAGAGGGUGACCGGCGACAUUGGGACUGAGAUACGGCCCAGAAGCCUACGGGAGGCAGCAGUGGGGAAUAUUGCACAAUGGGCGGAAGCCUGAGGCAGCAACGCCGCGUGCGGGAUGACGGCCUUCGGGUUGUAAACCGAUUUCGCCUGUGACGAAGAGUGAGUGACGGUAAUGGGUAAAGAAGCACCGGCUAACUACGUG
rnacentral:rRNA from 1 species